UUUUAGCCCCGAUAGUAGUGAAAAUCCUUUAUUUUUUUCCUUUAAAAAAUUAAAGAUUGUAACGGAUAGCGGGAUUAGCU
rnacentral:sRNA from 2 species